CCUACGGUGGGCUGCAGUGAGGAAUAUUGGUCAAUGGACGAGAGUCUGAACCAGCCAAGUAGCGUGAAGGAUGACUGCCCUAUGGGUUGUAAACUUCUUUUAUAUGGGAAUAAAACAGGGUAUGCAUACCCUCUGGUAUGUACCAUAUGAAUAAGGAUCGGCGAACUCCGGGCCAGCAGCCGCGGUAAUACGGAGGAUCCGAGCGUUAUCCGGGUUUAAUGGGUUUAAAGGGAGCGUAGGUGGAUUGUUAAGUCAGUUGUGAAAGUUUGCGGCUCAACCGUAAAAUUGCAGUUGAAACUGGCAGUCUUGAGUACAGUAGAGGUGGGCGGAAUUCGUGGUGUAGCGGUGAAAUGCUUAGAUAUCACGAAGAACUCCGAUUGCGAAGGCAGCUCACUGGACUGCAACUGACACUGAUGCUCGAAAGUGUGGGUAUCAAACAGGAUUAGAUACCCGAGUAGUC
rnacentral:rRNA from 1 species